GAUGAACGCUGGCGGCGUGCUUAACACAUGCAAGUCGAGCGAAGCAUUUAAGUGGAUUCCUUCGGGAUGAAGGUUAUAUGACUUAGCGGCGGACGGGUGAGUAACGCGUGGGCAACCUGCCCCAUACCGGGGGAUAACAGCCGGAAACGGCUGCUAAUACCGCAUAAGCGCACGGUACCGCAUGGUACAGUGUGAAAAACUCCGGUGGUAUGGGAUGGGCCCGCGUUGGAUUAGCUAGUUGGCAGGGUAAAGGCCUACCAAGGCGACGAUCCAUAGCCGGCCUGAGAGGGUGGACGGCCACAUUGGGACUGAGACACGGGCCCAAACUCCUACGGGAGGCAGCAGUGGGGAAUAUUGCACAAUGGGGGAAACCCUGAUGCAGCGACGCCGCGUGAGCGAAGAAGUAUUUCGGGUAUGUAAAGCUCUAUCAGCAGGGAA
rnacentral:rRNA from 1 species